rnacentral:rRNA from 1 species
GACGUAGGGCGCGAGCGUUGUCCGGAUUUAUUGGGCGUAAAGAGCGUGUAGGCGGCCAGGUAGGUCUGCUGUGAAAACUCGAGGCUCAACCUCGAGACGUCGGCGGAAACCAUCUGGCUAGAGUCCGGAAGAGGAGAGUGGAAUUCCCAGUGUAGCGGUGAAAUGCGUAGAUAUUGGGAGGAACACCAGUGGCGAAGGCGGCUACCUGGACCGGUUCUGACGCUGAUGCGCGAAAGCGUGGGUAGCAAACAGG